UACGAAGGGAGCGAGCGUUGUUCGGAAUCACUGGGCUUAAAGCGUGCGUAGGCGGAUAUACAAGUCAGAAGUGAAAUCCCUGGGCUUAACCCAGGAACUGCUUUUGAUACUGUAUGUCUAGAAUUCGGUAGAGGCCGGUAGAAUAUCCAGUGUAGAGGUGAAAUUCGCAGAUAUUGGAUAGAAUACCGAUGGCGAAGGCAGCCGGCUGGGCCGAUAUUGACGCUGAGGUACGAAAGCGUGGGGAGCAAACAGG
rnacentral:rRNA from 1 species